CCCUACGGGGGGCAGCAGUGGGGAAUAUUGCACAAUGGGGGAAACCCUGAUGCAGCGACGCCGCGUGAGUGAAGAAGUAUCUCGGUACGUAAAGCUCUAUCAGCAGGGAAGAAAAUGACGGUACCUGACUAAGAAGCCCCGGCUAACUACGUGCCAGCAGCCGCGGUAAUACGUAGGGGGCAAGCGUUAUCCGGAUUUACUGGGUGUAAAGGGAGCGUAGACGGCUGUGCAAGUCUGGAGUGAAAGGCAUGGGCUCAACCUGUGGACUGCUUUGGCAACUGUGCGGCUUGAG
rnacentral:rRNA from 1 species